GGGCUCGGCCGCGGCCCCGGGCCCUGUGGGGAGCGGGGGAAGGGCCGGCCGCCCAGCGCCCUCGGGGGGAGCUCGCCUGCGGCCUGGAGGCGGCCCGCCAGGUACCGCGGCCCGCUGUGCUGAGGUUCUUCAUUAACGGUUAGGGAAGGCGAACUGGAGGUCUGUAUGCAGCGGGCAAGUUGCGAGCGGCGAACAGCAUCCGCGCAAAAAGACCACGGGGCUCGUUAUACGGCUGAAUUAUUUCAACCUGUUUAAAUUUCCCUUCGUUUUCUCCUCCCACUAGUUCCGGUUUCUCCUCCUCGACUGAAAUCCGCUGCAGUCUUUACCAUCGUGACCGUUCUCCCUUCUUAAACCUGGGGGUUUAUUCUGCCAUGUAAAUCCACUCAUCCUCCAGUCCUUCAAGUCUAGAAGAUGACGACAGUUCUAUAAGAACAGUAGGAGCCUGGGAGCAAGAAGAAAGAAAGUCCAGUAGACUUGAAGAGAGUUUAUCUGCAAUUAAUUCAUCUUCCUCUAACUGGAAAGGUAGCAAGCAUGCAAGAGAACGCAAACUGUAGCUGCAGUGGUCUGGCACAGAGUUCCUGAGAUUACAGCAAUGAGAUUGCUCUCGUCUCACCUUUACACUGAGGCUGUAUCCGCUACUGGGUAUCCACAGCUGAGGCUAUUAUGGAUUUUGCUGGUGUAGCAAUACCAAAGAGCAUUCUAACUGAAACUUCAGAGGUCUACAACAUACAUCAGACAUACUACUACUUCACAGAGUAAUUUUUUUCCCACUAUGAUGAUGAUGUAAAGCCUUAAGAGAUGUUUCUGGCAUGCUCUAGUAGGUGAGGCAAUUGCCCCCAUGGGGAUCAGCUUUGUAUGUACAACUAGUGUGUCUCCUGGGUUUAAUUUUCUUCUUUCUAAUUGCCAGUAGUUGUGGUGAUUAUUGUUUUUUGAGGGUUCACAGUACUAUCUUGAACAAAGAUGUUAAUGCAUUAAAAGAAGUUGGUAAGCUGAGCCUAGAUGUACUGAUUAAGUGAAUUUCUUCUGAACUCCUGUGAGAAGAAAUCAAAGCUGCUGAAGCACAGUAUGCUAAUGUACUCUGAAAACACUUCUACAUCAUACUUUGUAAAGUUUAACUGCCUUGGUGUUUUGCUACAGUAUCUCUAUAUGCCAGAGACAUACAGAGACAUGUCUUUGCAGGGGAGGAGAGAUGAGGUUGUUCUGCUAUACUGAGUGCUAUUUAUCUUUAAAUCUUUCCUUAAAUUAAGAAGUAAACUUGAUUUUAUAUUUAUACAUAUAAUUAUAUGUAUAUACGUAUAUAUAAAAUGUAUAAAUAGGUA